CCACAAAAAAUGAAAGAAAAUCAUGUUUUUUUUCUCUAUAUCAAAAAGAAUGAAAAUUUUGUCAAGGUAUAAGAAAGAUUGUACAGCCAUAAAAACUAGAUUUUUUAAUUUAAUUUUAAUUUUUUUCAAUAUACUGAUCCAGUUAAGAACUGUCAUUCAAGGUAGAUUUUGAUGCUAUUACAAAUUGAUAGUCAUGUGGUAUUUCCUAUCAAAAACCCUUAAAUCUUGUAAUUUAUUUGGAGUAAAAAACAGAUUUUGUGAUGAUGCCUUUGUAGAAUGUAUUAAGCUAAGAGCUAGGGUGUUAGCAAUUGUAGAAGUUUCCUGCAACAGUGAUCACUACAAACACUAUGUAUUGAUACAACCCACAACUGAGUAGGAAAAAUGCAUCAUAAAUCGUUUGUUGCCAUUUCAAUAGAUAAAAUGGCUGGAAAGCAGUGACUGAAAAAACAUGGACAAAAAAAGUAUUUAUCUUAAUAAAAGCAGAGCACACAAUUUCAAUUAUAAGAGAAACUUCUACAAUGACAACAUUCUUUAUCAUCCCUGUAAAUGAUUGUUGUACCCCACCCUCUCCAUACCAUAUUUUAGGAUACUCAUAAUUAUGUAUUUAUAUAGGAAAAUAGCAGGAGUGUUUUGGGUCAAAGAACCUGAAUUGUUCCAUCAUUUUAGUGUGGAAAAAAAGCCUCUAUGUGUUUUGGCCAAUAAUCCCAUUGUCUUUGAGCUUGUGACUAACUAACCUGAACCGGUUCUAUAACUUUGUAACUUGUAAGAAUGAGGAGGCAGGGUAUGAAAGAUUUAUCAAAAAAACUGUAAAAGGUGCCAUUUUGGUGGUGAUUGGUGGCAAGCGCUUUAAUUAAAAGAAACGUUUGCAAUCUAACUUACACUUAAUGACUGCACUUUACCUCACAAGAUAUUUCGUCUCAGGCAGAGAAAGAGUUGUUUGAGAUGUUUGAAUACGACAUUGCCACUAACAGAGUGAGCUAUUUGCAAAGUAUUUAUUUUGGUAAAUAGUUUCAGCUGCCACAUAUCCAGUUCUUUCCUACUUUGUGAGUGCUUACUAUUGAUUUGUUGAAGACCAAUUGCGGCUGAAUCAACAAACAACGCUGAUAACUGUUGACAAAUCUUGUCCGACGAUGAUGUGUUAGCUGCCAUAUCCCUGCCUACCCUCCUUUUUGUCAUUGAGUGUGUUUUAUUGUCUUAAGAAACAUUUAUAUUUGUAACAUUUUAAGUUUAUUUGUAUCCUUAAUAACAAGAAAAAAAACUGAAUGGUUAUGCACACUGUCCUUCCAUAGAACAUGUAAUGGAAUAUGAUACUAAAUAAUAACCACUUUGUUAUAUAAACUGAUUUCUGAAAA